UGGGGAAUUUUGGACAAUGGGGGAAACCCUGAUCAAGCCAUCCCGCGUGUGCGAUGAAGGCCUUCGGGUUGUAAAGCACUUUUGGCAGGAAAGAAACGUCAUGGGUUAAUACCCCGUGAAACUGACGGUACCUGCAGAAUAAGCACCGGCUAACUACGUGCCAGCAGCCGCGGUAAUACGUAGGGUGCAAGCGUUAAUCGGAAUUACUGGGCGUAAAGCGUGCGCAGGCGGUUCGGAAAGAAAGAUGUGAAAUCCCAGAGCUCAACUUUGGAACUGCAUUUUUAACUACACGGCUAGAGUGUGUCAGAGGGAGGUGGAAUUCCGCGUGUAGCAGUGAAAUGCGUAGAUAUGCGGAGGAACACCGAUGGCGAAGGCAGCCUCCUGGGAUAACACUGACGCUCAUGCACGAAAGCGUGGGGAGCAAACAGG
rnacentral:rRNA from 1 species